CCUUCAUCCCUCAUCCCUCGGGGUGAGGGAGGGGCAUGCACGGUCUUGGUCUCUGUUUCUAUCCCAUCCCCCGCCCCCCACCCCCCGUCCCCCUGAUCUGCUGGGUCAGAGCCUGCAGUUGAGGAAGAUGAUCCCCAAGUGGUGCUGCCAUCCACCGAGCCCAGAGUUUGCGCAGCAAUAGACAUCAUAGCCUCACAGUGGAAGUGCCCCUCAGCUGUUGGACGGACACAGACGCUGGGUUGCAUGUGCGUGUUGUGAUUCUGUGCAGCAGUGAGAGCAAGCCAGCGGCCGCCACACAGCGAACACAGAUGAGCCCACAGACGUAGUGUGUGGCUGGAGAAGCUGACCCGGAGGAGUGCUUUUUGCAGGGUUCCAUUUAGGUGAAGUACUGCACACGUAGGACUGCUCUUCGGGAAAGAAGGCGGGCUUGUGGUUACCUUUGGGGACAGGGACAGGGUGGGAGAUGUGACAUCAUGCUGGUCCUGCAGGCUUGGUUCUCUUCUUAGCCCUCAUCAUGAGUUUGAAUCUUCAAGCUGCUCACUCGUGAUACACACUUUUUCAUCUGUCAUAUGUUGGUCAUUAAAAAACAUAAAAGGCA